CCAAGCCUGACCCACCCAGUUUUAUUUGUAUUACAGGAAGUGGCGCGAGGGCAUGAGAUGGAUGAACCAUCAGUUGUUUUGUUUACAAGUCUGCAUAUGUUUAUAUUUGUGAAUGACUUGUAAUGUAUUCGUUUAUGCUUAUUGGUCUGUAUCGGAACAUGACACCCCGAGUUUUGAUAUUAAUGAAAAUACAUUUCUUUUAUGAAAUGCUUCGGUAAACAUUGUUUUAUCCUGUUUUGUUUUUGGGAACAAAUUCCGCAACUCUUUCAAAUCAAAAGGAUUUACUCUGAAAAUAUUUUCAAGCAUAAAUGAAAAACGGUCUUUUCUGGCCGAGAUUUUGGGGAUGUCACAGUAUUUGGCAUAGGGAGUUCGGGAAAAAAAUCCCAAGGUAUCGGAUCAUAGAUCUAGAGGACAGCAGAGCCACAUUCAGUGUGGCAAGUGUGGGAGAUUGCACGAUGGGCGUGCAAGGCUGGGAGUCCCAGUUACUACAAGUGCGUCCAGACCGGGCAUAUCAGCAGAGAUUGUACACCUACUACCACCACCACCACAACAUCUAAUUUGAUUUGCUUCCACUACAAUCAGAGGGGACAUAAAAAGGAGAAAAUUACAUGGAUGGUCCUUGUGGUUUGUUGUCACUUACAUGUUUGGUCCCUAGAAAGAUUUUUUAACUCAGAUCAUAACUAAAAUUUUAAUUUGUUACCUGCCCAGUCCCUCUGUUAACUUUUUUUUUUAGGUGUUAGUAACACCCAUAGUGGGGGCAUUUUUGUCCUUUCACCAUUGCAAGGCCCUUAAAACCAUCCCUUCAUUUUUUUUAGUUUCUUCUUCUCAUUUGUUUCCUUCGUCUUCUUCUCCUGGUGUAUGCGAUCCAAACGAUCUAGACAAGAUGAGGAAAGACAAGAAAAUAAAUUUUCUGAGUUGCCUUAAAAGCUAAAACCAUGAUGUACAGGUUGAAACCAAGGAAGCCUUGUAUGUUUUCUUUCUUUGAGAUCAAUAUAAUAAUACAAGAACGCGGCAAAAGUUUAACUUUACCCUUGAUUCCUCAAAUUCUCCAUAUUCUUCCCCCUUUUCUCUGUAUUAUCCUCCACCACAAUUUUGGUAGGGAUAUAUCACUCCCUUCUUCCUUCCUUCUAUUAUAUCUCCCACUUCAAUUAUUUGGAACUGUAAAUCGAUUAUUGAUUAAGGGUUGAACGGAAAACCUAAAGUUUUGAUCUUUGCAGAUCCUCGGGUUCGUUUUUAUGGCUAUUUU
rnacentral:lncRNA from 1 species